GCUCGGUUGGUGUAGUCCGGCCAAUCAUGUUGGCCUUUCGGCGGACGCGGCGCCCUCGGCGCCGGUUCGGAAGUCAGCCGACGACCAGGGUUCAAAUCCCUGACCGAGCA
rnacentral:tRNA from 1 species